GAUGAACGCUAGCGGCAGGCCUAAUACAUGCGAGUCGAACGGGAUCCAGAUCAAAGCUUGCUUUGGUCUGGUGAGAGUGGCGCACGGGUGCGUAACGCGUGAGCAACCUACCCUUGUCAGGGGGAUAGCCCGGCGAAAGUCGGAUUAAUACCGCAUGACAUCAUUGAGAGGCAUCUUUCGAUGAUCAAAUAUUUAUCGGACAAGGAUGGGCUCGCGUGACAUUAGCUAGUUGGUAAGGUAACGGCUUACCAAGGAUGCGAUGUCUAGGGGCUCUGAGAGGAGACUCCCCCACAAUGGUACUGAGACACGGACCAGACUCGUACGGGAGGCAGCAGUAAGGAAUAGUGGUCAAUGGACGGAAGUCUGAACCAGCCAUGCCGCGUGCAGGAAGACGGCCCUAUGGGUUGUAAACUGCUUUUAUACGGGAACAAACGUCGGUACGUGUACCGGUCUGAGUGUACCGUAAGAAUAAGGAUCGGCUAACUCCGUG
rnacentral:rRNA from 1 species